GAAACGACUGCUAAUACCGCAUAAGCCCACGGCUCGGCAUCGAGCAGAGGGAAAAGGAGCAAUCCGCUUUGAGAUGGCCUCGCGUCCGAUUAGCUAGUUGGUGAGGUAACGGCCCACCAAGGCGACGAUCGGUAGCCGGACUGAGAGGUUGAACGGCCACAUUGGGACUGAGACACGGCCCAGACUCCUACGGGAGGCAGCAGUGGGGAAUAUUGCACAAUGGGGGAAACCCUGAUGCAGCGACGCCGCGUGGAGGAAGAAGGUCUUCGGAUUGUAAACUCCUGUUGUUGAGGAAGAUAAUGACGGUACUCAACAAGGAAGUGACGGCUAACUACGUGCCAGCAGCCGCGGUAAAACGUAGGUCACAAGCGUUGUCCGGAAUUACUGGGUGUAAAGGGAGCGCAGGCGGGAGAACAAGUUGGAAGUGAAAUCCAUGGGCUCAACCCAUGAACUGCUUUCAAAACUGUUUUUCUUGAGUAGUGCAGAGGUAGGCGGAAUUCCCGGUGUAGCGGUGGAAUGCGUAGAUAUCGGGAGGAACACCAGUGGCGAAGGCGGCCUACUGGGCACCAACUGACGCUGAGGCUCGAAAGUGUGGGUAGCAAACAGGAUUAGAUACCCUGGUAGUCCACACCGUAAACGAUGAAUACGAGGUGUUGGAGGAUUGACCCCUUCAGUG
rnacentral:rRNA from 1 species